CCUUUGAUUCACUGAACUUACUUGCACCGAAUUUGUCGUGUCGAAUCGGUAUAAGCCCGCUUGGCUUUGUCCCGAGGUUAGAACUCCGACCUUUGAUUCAUUGAACUUAUUUGCACAGUAUUCGUCGAGUCGCAUCGGUAGAAGCCCGUUUGGCUUUGUCCCGAGGUUAGAACUCGGGCCCUUGAUUUAUCGCACAUAUUUGCACAGUAUUCGUCGUGUCUAAUCGUUAGAAGCCCGCUUGGCUUUGUCCCGAGGUUAGAACUCGGGCCUUUGAUUCGUUGAACUUAUUUGCAGAGAGCUCGUCGUGUUGCAUCGGCAGAAGCCCGUUUGGCUUUGUCCCGAGGUUAGAACUCGGGCCUUUGAUUCAUUGAACUUAUUUGCACAGAACUCGUCAUGUUGCAUCGGUAGAAGCCCGUUUGGCUUUGCCCCGAGGUUAGAACUUGGGCCUUUGAAUCAUUGAACUUGUUUGCACA